AGAGUUUGAUCCUGGCUCAGGAUGAACGCUGGCGGCGUGCCUAAUACAUGCAAGUCGAGCGAACUGAUUAGAAGCUUGCUUCUAUGACGUUAGCGGCGGACGGGUGAGUAACACGUGGGCAACCUGCCUGUAAGACUGGGAUAACUUCGGGAAACCGAAGCUAAUACCGGAUAGGAUCUUCUCCUUCAUGGGAGAUGAUUGAAAGAUGGUUUCGGCUAUCACUUACAGAUGGGCCCGCGGUGCAUUAGCUAGUUGGUGAGGUAACGGCUCACCAAGGCAACGAUGCAUAGCCGACCUGAGAGGGUGAUCGGCCACACUGGGACUGAGACACGGCCCAGACUCCUACGGGAGGCAGCAGUAGGGAAUCUUCCGCAAUGGACGAAAGUCUGACGGAGCAACGCCGCGUGAGUGAUGAAGGCUUUCGGGUCGUAAAACUCUGUUGUUAGGGAAGAACAAGUACGAGAGUAACUGCUCGUACCUGACGGUA
rnacentral:rRNA from 1 species